CAAUGGUUUCCCCAUGGAGGGGAAUUAAAAGGGAAUGCCGUGUGAAUCGGCAACAGUUCCCGCUGCUGUGAGUCCCGCCCGAAAGGGCAUUUUCGUCGCGACAAUCUGAGCCACUGGUCCUCCGGGACCGGGAAGGCGUUGCGCCGGGGGACAAGUCAGAAGACCUGCCUUGCGAGAU
rnacentral:ncRNA from 1 species